CUACGGGGUGCAGCAGUGAGGAAUAUUGGUCAAUGGGCGAAGGCCUGAACCAGCCAUGCCGCGUGAAGGAUGACGGCCCUAUGGGUUGUAAACUUCUUUUAUACGGGAAGAAACACCUCUACGUGUAGAGGUUUGACGGUACCGUACGAAUAAGCAUCGGCUAACUCCGUGCCAGCAGCCGCGGUAAUACGGAGGAUGCAAGCGUUAUCCGGAUUUAUUGGGUUCAAAGGGUACGUAGGCGGAAACUUAAGUCAGUAGUGAAAUCCCGCAGCUUAACUGUGGAACUGUUAUUGAUACUGGGUUUCUUGAAUAUUGUUGAGGUAGGCGGAAUAAGUAAUGGAGCGGUGAAAUGCUUAGAUAUUACUUAGAACACCGAUUGCGAAGGCAGCUUACUAAGCAAUUAUUGACGCUGAGGUACGAAAGCGUGGGGAGCGAACAGGAUUAGAUACCCCCGUAGUC
rnacentral:rRNA from 1 species